AAAGAUCAGCUUACUGAAUUCCUCAGUCUGUCCUUUGAGAUUUCAACCAAAUGAUGUAACAUAGGAUGCCGUUCUGGUUAAUUAUUCCUUAGAAUGAGCCUCAAUAUCGUUACAAAUUCCCCAUUCUGCCUCUGCUUUCCCUCUUCUGCUCUUAUUCCGUGAUUGUAAUUUCUAGAGUUAGAUUCUAGGGCACACCUGACCUUAGGCUCUGCUGGGUUGCUUAUCCUGAAGCGUUGUGAGUCCCUCCCAAGGUGAAGAAAUAUAAUUAGAAGAAAAAGAGAUCAUUCAGUGAGGAGCCUAAGUGUGAGUGGCCAUAAGUUACAUGGAAUUAUGCUGUUAUGUGUUACAUUGGACCUUUUUAAUCAGCUGCGUGUCAAUGACUCUGGAAUUCAUUUAGGUCUUCUCCAGCAAUUCCAGGCCAUCUGUCCUCACCGUACCAAAUAAGCAUUCAUGGACACAUGGCUGCCUCCUCCAGACUGACAAAGGCUCUUUAGUACAGCGAAGAGAAAUGACCCAGCAGCAGUGGUGAAGAGGCCUAAAAAUAUUUAAAGUAAAAAAAUAACAAGACCCACCAACUUUCUCUUUUCUUGACACCCCCUUUUAUCUUAAGUUUAUUUCAUGUUUUAUCAUUGGAAUCUGCCCUUACAGAAUGCAUUUGCAUAAUUGCCUACCAAAUUAGAUAUAAGCUUAUUUUUAAAGGUGAAGAAUCCUUAUAUCAGAAAAGAAAUUAAAAAUGUUUAAUUUCCUUAUAAGAAAUGGCUGCAUAUAUUCUCAUAUAGUACAAUAGGAAAGGAUUUAAAAGACAGAAAGGUGAUAGAUAAUGUAUAUGAAGAAACUCCUAAAAUUUCUACUUCUAUAGCAGAUACAAGAGGUUUAAGAGAUAUGGGGUUUUUUUCUGUUUUUUUUUUUUUUCUUAGCAGUUUAAUAAGAAUGCUUCCAAUGAGAAGAUAUGCUUUUAAAUAACUUACAUAAAUUCUAAGAUAGUUAAGACACAGAUUUUUUUUUAAAGUCACAGGAUUAAAAUUUUACAUAAAAGAGGUUGACUCAUUUUACA